rnacentral:rRNA from 1 species
UACGUAGGGUGCGAGCGUUGUCCGGAAUUAUUGGGCGUAAAGAGCUUGUAGGCGGUUUGUCGCGUCUGCCGUGAAAAUUCGAGGCUCAACCUCGAACUUGCGGUGGGUACGGGCAGACUAGAGUGUGGUAGGGGAGACUGGAAUUCCUGGUGUAGCGGUGAAAUGCGCAGAUAUCAGGAGGAACGCCGAUGGCGAAGGCAGGUCUCUGGGCCACUACUGACGCUGAGAAGCGAAAGCAUGGGGAGCGAACAGG